rnacentral:rRNA from 1 species
UACGUAGGGUGCAAGCGUUAAUCGGAAUGACUGGGCGUAAAGGGUGCGCAGGCGGUCUGCUAAGACAGAGGUGAAAUCCCCGGGCUUAACCUGGGAAUGGCCUAUGUGACUGGCAGGCUAGAGGAUGGCAGAGGGAGGCGGAAUUCCACGUGUAGCAGUGAAAUGCGUAGAGAUGUGGAGGAACACCGAUGGCGUGGGCAGCCUCCUGGGCCAAUCCUGACGCUCAGGCACGAAAGCGUGGGGAUCAAACAGG